rnacentral:rRNA from 1 species
UACGUAGGUCCCGAGCGUUGUCCGGAUUUAUUGGGCGUAAAGCGAGCGCAGGUGGUUUAUUAAGUCUGGUGUAAAAGGCAGUGGCUCAACCAUUGUAUGCAUUGGAAACUGGUAGACUUGAGUGCAGGAGAGGAGAGUGGGAUUCCAUGUGUAGCGGUGAAAUGCGUAGAUAUAUGGAGGAACACCGGUGGCGAAAGCGGCUCUCUGGCCUGUAACUGACACUGAGGCUCGAAAGCGUGGGGAGCAAACAGG